rnacentral:tRNA from 1 species
GGCCUCGUAGCUCAGUGGAUUAGAGCGUCUCCCUCCGAAGGAGAAGGCCGCUGGUUCGAUCCCAGCCGAGGUCA